GUGACCUACUAUCUAUAUGCUUCUCUCCCUCUCCCUUUCCUCCUCUUUCUCUCCUUUUUUCUUGGCACAGAGCAUGUUUCUCUAACAAGUAGAAGACUAUGGUUCGAGCAAAAGAGGAGAUUUCAGAAAGAAGGGAAGCCAGAUGAGACCGGUUCAACUAGCCAGAUACAAAAAAGUUCAAUAAACUUUGUAUAAUUGUUAGCUAAA